rnacentral:rRNA from 1 species
GUGCCAGGUUACAAAUCUGGCUGUCGUGAUGCCUAAAAAGCAUUGCAUAGCAAGGGCCGGGCAAGACCGGUGCCAGCCGCCGCGGUAACACCGGCGGCUCGAGUGGUAACCGUUAUUAUUGGGUCUAAAGGGUCUGUAGCCGGCCGGAUAAGUCUCUUGGGAAAUCUGGCAGCUUAACUGUCAGGCUUUCAGGAGAUACUGUCUGGCUCGAGGCCGGGAGAGGUGAGAGGUACUUCAGGGGUAGGGGUGAAA